UAUCUGGAGCCCCCACCCGUCAGCCUGCAAAUACACCUCCAAGCAUCUUGUUCCUUCCUUUGUUCUGCUGAGUGCAAGGGGCAGGCGUGACAGAAGAGUACAGGCGUCGCUAGAGACAACAGCUUGAGGGAGAGCUAGAGAGGGAUAGCAGUGGAGAGGGGACAUUUUCCCAUUUUGCUGCUAGACUUAUGGGCCAACUGAAAAAUUACACACCUCACAAAUAAUUAAAAUUGAUUUUUCCAUUAUGCUUUUGAUUGUGGGCUAAGGGUGCUUCGUCAGCAUUUCCAAGAUAAACUGUUUUCCUGUUGUUUUUAAAAUCGGCAUAUCAAGAAAAUUAUUAGGCUAGCAAAAAAGGGAGUCCAUGCCAAUCCUUUAGAGUAAUAGCAGCAAACAUGUGAUUACUGCUUUUAAUCUGCUACCAUUAUGACAUUUCUCCAAAGGAGAAAUGGAAAGUUAAGACAAGUAUAGUUUUUCCCAUCGUGACUGCCCUACGUUUAAGAAAUUACUGUGCUUGUAUCGUAUGUUAACCUCGUGUUAUGUCACAUCACAUACUAGCGGAUUAUUAUUGGGAAAGAGGCCUUAUAUUAUCUAGAGAGAAAUUUUAAGAUAAGAUAAGGAAUCCUGGAUGGAAAUUUGGACUAAGUAAUGGCUGAAAUGUUUCCCAACCAUAAAGUUUAAAGACCUGAAUGUGAAAGAAUGAAGUCAAUGACUUAACAAAAACUGUUUUCUGGCCUUGAGUGUACCACUUACUGGAUAAAUGAACGUGGACAAGACCAUUUGAACUGUUUCCAUUUCAGCUUUUUCAUCUGCAAAAUGAGGACAAUUCUGUUCAGGACCUCCAGGUAGCCAACAGGCCUCAGUACAAGUAGACACCUCCCUUCCAACGUGGCAUGGCAGGCCUGCAAAUAAGUGGUUCCAGGGAAGGUCAUGUGACACCUUUGGGCCAAUGAGAUGCAGGGACAGAUAUGCUGAGGCUUCUGGCAACAUCUUUCCAUGUUCUUACAGGGUUUCUAGAAGAACACCUUUUUCCCUAGAGUUGCUGUUCUGAGUAAGGCUUAGAAUUUCUGCAGCUGUCUUACUACCUGAGGAGGAUGUCGCUAUACAAAGGAACACAGGGCCUUCCCAGGGAAUCCCUGGGAAACGCAGUGAGGCCACUGAUGGAGUCCACCCUGAAGCUUGCCCUAUAUCUACACUUCUAGUAUGAAAAUCAAAAUACUUUUCCCAUACUGGUUGAACCAAUUUGACUUGAAUUUAUUGUUACCUACAAUUCAAGAAACGCUAACUAGCUUAUAGGUAAGAAAAUCUAAGUAAAACUCUGAAAGUUAAGUGCUAUAAGGUAUUAUUAUUUACAGGAGUAACAUCUCUCCUGGCUUUAUGAUGAAGCCAAAUCAUCUUUGGGGGGCACCUCACGGAAUUAUGUAUUGUGGUGUGUGGGUCCUUUUGAUAAUAUCCCUGUCCAGUGGCUAUUUAACACACAGGUGGAUUCUCCCAGCAAUAGGGAUGUCAUCACCUCCUGAGGCAGGACUCAUGGUUGUGUCACUCAGCACAUCACAACGUGGUCGUUCUGGGAUUCAAAAUUUGUACCUGCUUUGUGCUGAGCUCACGUGAAGCAGAGAGAAGGCAGAAAAAUCGGGAAGGUGUAUUUAUUGCUAUUGGUCUGCAUUUUUCCCACAUGGAAAUGGCUGAGCUCAGGCAAGUCAGCUGCUGGUGGGACUGUGGUCUCCCUGUACCUUCCUGUCUUCUCCUUGCUGGCAUUCUCUCUGCAGGGACCUGAGGAAAGUCACAGCUCUUCUUUGGAAGGACACUAGCCAUUUGUCUGGUCUGCAGGGCCUGUGCAGCCAUUCAUGAUAGUGUUAUUGUGCAGUUUUUAGAACGGUAAUUUUGAAAUGAUGUAUUUCAGAGCCCAGCCUAGCACAAUCUGACCUGGGCAAGCUGGGCUCGUGGUAGCAGAGAGCAGAUGCUGUAAAGGGGAGGGCAAACGUGAAAGGGGAAAUGGUGCCCUUAACGGUAGGCCCCUCUGUUCCUAAAGCGAAGAUAUUUUUGUCUGUUUCUCCUCUCAGUACUGUAACAGGAAGGAGAAGGUGCUGCACGUGCUGGAUACGGUGGACUAUUAAUUUGAGAUCCCCCUCCCUACCUGUCACCUACUUUCUAUGUGACUUGAGCCUGUGGCCUGUGGCCACUGUGUUGAUAUUUGUGGACUUGCCUCUGUGCUCCACACACCCUACCUGACGCCAGUCAGAGGGCCCCAUAAUGAACCCUGUGAUGGCCACCCAGAUCCUCCUUCAGAACAGAAGGACUUCUACCCCUCACUGCUAGGAGUGUUGCCAUCAGAUGGCCUGCAGCUGUCGGUUCUCUCUGGCAAUUGCACUUGGCUAAGCACGGUUGCCUAGCCCAAGGUGAGACCUGCUUCCCCGGGCGGCCUCUCUCCGAUGACUGGUCAAACAAAGGAUACAAAUGCUCAGUCCUCUUGUCCCAACCUGGGACAACUUUGCAGGGCCAUCUCAGCGUUGGGGCUCCCCAUGGGGUCAGGUGUGGUCAUUGUUGAGACUGCAUCAUGGCCCAACUUUCUAACAACGGUUCUGUAUGCUAAUCCCCAGUGCAGUCUGCCUUCCAAAGCAUCCUCCCCGGGACAACCUCUCUGUGGCGACCUAGGCCCAAUACUGGGGACAUGCAUUCAGACAGAGGAGAAUGUGCAGAUAAGACUCUGCCCCUCCCCGCCCCGAAUCUGUUAAAAAAAACACUGGUGACCUUGGGAGCUGUAGAAAAGACCCUCUGUUCCCCCGAGCUUCUCCUUAGGAAUGAUAGUAAGAACUACCUUUAUAAAGAGCUGGUUCGGGGCCAGGCACCGGGCUGAACACUUCACAGGUAUUGUCUCAUUAAUCUUAAUCACAAUCCUGCUGAGUAGGGGCUCUCCCCUGCAUUUUAUGGAUGUGGCAACUGUUAGUAAAUGUUAGUAAAUCUGGUGGCAGAGUGGGCUGGAUCCCACUGAGCGUAUCCACUCAGACAUGCUAUCCCAAACUCCUCAGUGGUGCGCAGGCAGGCAAAAAAGGAUCAGAGGGACUUGAGGACAGUGUCCUUGGGGGGUUAUUGCUGUUCAAGGCCUGCAUGACUCACUUGUGCCAAAAAGACAUUCCUUAAACGCGGUGAUAAGAAUAUCACUUUGGUAAGCCCUGUUUUGAACGUACAAACCAAGAUUUAAAGGAAUUUUACAGUAAAUAAACUAUUACAGCUGCCAUUAUUGGGUGUCUGCUACCUACGAGUCAAAGGGCUAUAUAAACAUCUCAUAUGUGGAACAUGGUUAGUCCUUUCAACAAACCUCCAAUGUAAACUUUAUCAUCCCACUUUACAUCAGAGGGACUGAGGCUCAGAGAGGUUAGAUUAACUUGUCCAAGCCAGGGUGACCAACUGUCUUUUUUUGUCCAGGACUGAGACAUCCCAUGCUAAUAAGGCAAAGUUCCUGCAAACUAGAACCAGUUGGUCAUGGUAGGUGGAGCUAAAACACACACACACACACACACACCAGCAAUGAAAUCUUUCCAUAAAGCUACUAAAUAUUAAUUCCAAAUUGGUUUGUUCUCUAACAAUUGAACCUGCACAUAUAAUAGAUUGACAGCCCCAAGGGCUAUUAAUAGUCUAAAUGUGAAAAAUACAAGGAGAUAAAACUGAAAAUAAUCUUUGAUUCAGUCUUAACCACUUCCCGUGAUUGAAACAUUAUCCUUAGAAAAUGCCAGGACCCCAGGAAGAAGACUCCCACUGUACAGCUUUACAUUUUCUUUGAUCAGCAACAUGGAAGGCAAAAGUAACUUACCUCAUCUGAAAUUUGACCUCCAAAUGUCACCCAUGUUCCUAGAAAAUAAAUAUUUGCACAUUAUUUAUGAUCAUUUUUCUCUUUAAAAACUAUUUAUUUACUUAUUUAUUUAUUUUAAGAGAGACAGAGAGAACGACUGGGGGAGUGGCAGAGAGAGAGAGAGAAGGAGCGAGAGAAUCCCAAGCGGGCUCCAAUCGUCAGCACGGAGCCCGUUGUGGGGCUCAAACCCAUGGACCGUGAGAUCAUGACCUGAGCCAAAACCAAGAGUCAGAUGUGUAACUGACUGAGCCAUCCAAGAAUGAUUCCCAGAGAAAUGUGGAGCUGGAGGGAGGAGCAUCCCCCCUAACCUGCACUGGAAAGCAAGAAAUCAUGUGAGCCCAGGACCAGUGCUGACUUGGAGGAGGGGGCACUCAGCUGUUGGCCACCGCCUGAGAUCAGGUCCGGAGAAUGACCCUGCAGGCCCUUUCCUGUCUGAGCUUCAGGCUGAGUCUCUGGAGAACGGAACCCUCUCCCAUGUCCUUGUGCCCCAAUCCUGCUUAUUCUUCAGCCUCAGAAUUCAGUGCUGCAAGACGUGGUUCCCUAACACUUCCUCCGCUGCCUGGCAAAAAUCCCCACCCGGAUCAAUCUGACUGUCUGGCUCUCAUCACCCAUAACCAAGAUGCUGAGCCGUGCUGGAGAAAAUCACAGAAGACAGAGACGGACGCGUUGUAAAUUCUCGGUCUACAGUAACUAUGCACUGAUGGGCUCUGUUUUUGGAUCAUUUUCCUCCACUGUUUGGAUUUCAAAGAUGCUCUACUUUUCUCAACCUCAGGCCCCACUUUUUCUUCUUCCAGCAUCAGCAGACCACUCACACUUCCUGCUUCACCGAGAACAUAAAAGCAGACAAACUACUGUCCCCUCUAUUUCUUGCUCCUAAGUCCAGCAACCUACCCAUCACAGACACAGUGGAUGUCCUGCCCUUUUCCCAGUGGUCUCCAGCUGCCUGAGGACUCCCUCUGGGAUGCAGACACCCCACCUCCUUCACCCUCAGAUGGGGAGAGCGCACUGGGUCAUGGGCCAUGAGAUGUGCAUUCUGGCCCCCAUGCUGUCUGUGGAGCUGUGAUUGCCUGCCCUGAGUGAUUCCUGGAGUCAUUCCGACACCCCCAUUCUCUAGUUCUACAGUAGCCUGUGGGCAUUUUCACCCAGCUGCCACUCUGGAGUCAUGCGGAACUUGAUCACUGCCCACAUCAUAACUGUUAGAGCUAGAAUGAGCCUCCCAUGUCUGGUCCAGCCACUCACUUCUCGAGGAGGAACCUGAGGCCGGGAAGAGGCUGUGGGCACUUGGAGGCUGCGGGUGGAGAAGAAGUAGGGAUCAGGUGGCUGGUGGCCGGGCCAGAGGCAGGAGGUGUGGGCUCUGCUGUCUCUACCACUGGACUUGGACAAGACAUUUCCCCUCUUUCUGAUGAGGGAGCCUAAGGCAAGUUACCCGUGCUGCCAUUGCCUGUCCCCCCAGGUGGGAUGUGUGUGAUAUUCCCCGGGCACUCCUGGCUGCCCAAGA